CAUUUGGCAGUGCGUGGAGCUGAGACGCGAAACAAAUCAUCCAGGCAGCUUGCAUAGUCUAGAGGGGUAUCUUUAAAGAAAAUGUCUCCAUCCUCAGAAUACGAGAAGUGACUGUAAUGGCUGAUAUUACCCAUAUAACACGGCCUUCACGGUCACCAGAUGCAAGCCCAGCAGAGCUUUUAUUGAAAUCAUAUAAUUCUGCACCAAAGCCAAAGACACGUUUUACACUUCCAUAAAUUAAGUGUGAGUUUCUUGACAUCCUCAUGGAAGAGGGGGUAUUCUACCCACACAAUUCACAACUUUACCUCAUAUGCCCAAAACCUGACAAAUUGGUAAUGACUGCGGAAGGUGCACUCCAGAGGCACCGGACUCAGCAGUGGAGAGCUGAGCAGCAGAGCGCUGACCAGCAGAGACCUUCGCAGCUGAGCAGCAGUGAGCUGAGCAGCAGAGAGCUGAGCAGCAGAGACCUGAGCAGCAGUGAGCUGAGCAUCGGAGAGCUGAGCAGCGGAGAGCUGAGUAGCUGAGCAGCAGUGAGCUGAGCAGCGGAGAGCUGAGCAGCUGAGCAGCGGAGAGCUGAGCAGCAGAGACCUGAGCAGCAGAGAGCUGAGUAGCUGAGCAGAAGUGAGCUGAGCAGCGGAGAGCUGAGUAGCUGAGCAGCAGUGAGCUGAGCAGCGGAGAGCUGAGCAGCAGUGAGCUGAGCAGCAGAGACCUGAGUAGCUGAGCAGCAGUGAGCUGAGCAGCAGAGAGCUCAGUAGCUGAGCAGCAGUGAGCUGAGCAGCAGAGACCUGAGUAGCUGAGCAGCAGUGAGCUGAGCAGCAGAGACCUGAGCAUCAGAGAGCUGAGCAGCAGACAGCUGAGCAGCAGAGACCUGAGCAGCAGAGAGCUGAGCAGCAGUGAACUGAGCAGCGGAGAGCUGAGCAGCAGAGACUUGAGCAGGAGAGAGCUGAGCAGCAGAGACCUGAGCAGCUGAGCAGCAGAGAGCUGAGCAGCUGAGCGCUGUGAGUCGUGGUGCUGAGAUUGGCUGGAGGAGGCUGCAGGAUGCCGGAAGAGCAGAGAAUGUGAGCACUGUGGGGCACUAUCACGCCGCGGGUCCCAUAGGUAACUCAGUGCACCACCAUUUAAAAGCUCGGCACGGAGAGUGAAGGGGAGGAGAAUCCUGCAAUAUAUAUGAAGGCACUGCAACUGAAAAUAAUGCACACCAAAGAGGAACUGCUUGAUAUAUGUUGUCGGACUAAAUGCGAUUCUGUACUAUUUCUUAUUUCCUGUUACUAUGUCUAAGUGGCAGACAGUAAAUAAAAAAGAGGAAAUUACUUUUCUCCAAUCCCAGAGGAACAA